rnacentral:rRNA from 1 species
GACGAACGCUGGCGGCGUGCUUAACACAUGCAAGUCGAACGAGUGGGGACGGGUGAGUAACGCGUAAGCAACCUGCCCAUCAGAGGGGAUAACACUUGGAAACAGGUGCUAAACCGAUAUUGAAGGAUGGGCCCGCGGUGCAGUAGCUAUUUGGUGAGGUAACGGCUCACAAAGGCCACGAGGCAUAGCCGACCUGGGAGGGUGAGCGGCCACACUGGGACUGAGACACGGCCCAGACUCCGACGGGAGGCAGCAGUAGGGAAUCUUGGGCAAUGGACGAAAGUCUGACCGAGCAAUGCCGCGUGAGUGAAGAAGGUUUUCGGAUCGUAAAGUUCUGUUGUUAGAGAAGCGGUAUCUAACCAGAAAGCAACGGCUAACUCCGUGCCAGCAGCCGCGGUAAUAC